ACAGGAGCGUCACCUGUUUGCGCGCCAAGGCGAGGGAGAGGUGCUGUUCAAAGUGGUUGCAUUUGUAACGUUAUACGUAAGUCUUUUUUCACCACACAUUUACUACAUACAUAUAAGUACAUAUUUUAAUUUUUAACUUAGUCGAAUGUAUUAUUUUCAUAUUUUAUAAAACAAGUGAGUUAUUUUGUAUUCUCAAGUUAACCUUGCUGUUAGGGCUAUUAUAUAGGGCUGUGACGGGACAAGUAUUCGUCGUGUACCGAAUGAAUACUUUUAUACUUCUGUGUUUGUGAUGAUUUAAUCUGAAUUUUUAAACCAAUAAUAUUAUAGUUAACUUAGCCAUCUUGUUUCGCUUAAAAAUGUCUGAAGAGAACUCACAAAAACUGUGAAUGCACUUUAAAGGUAUGUGGAAAGCAGAACGUUUAAAGUGUGGGGACGUUAACAUUAAUGGUAUAUUUGGGAAUAUAUUGUAAUUAACUUAAAUUCAGUUUGUUAUUUUAACCCUGCGUUAUCAUCUGAUCUUUUUCAGUCAAGCCUGCUGUGGAGCGCGCCAAAAGUUUGAUUGUUCAGAUUUUAUUGUCAAGUGGACAAAAUUAGCAAACUUUAAGGAAAAGAGGCGACGGUAAAAUGCCUACUAAAUACUGUCUGAAUUUGAUAAAUUAGGCUAAUAGACGUUACAGCACAUCGACUCGACACGGAUCAUGCAAAUAACGAGCUUUUAGCUGUAUUUCUAACCGUAGGAUGCAUCUAGUUUUCAUCCAUUACUAAGAAUUUUUACAAUGUUAAAAUGUAUUUUUUAUGCAGUGACAUGGAUAACUUUGUAAGAACCAAGCUGACUGAAUGGAGUUUAGCAUCUUUAAUUCCCAAAUUUGAAGAUUUCUCAGGACUUCUCAACUUUGUACCCUAACUGUGGUGAAAUGCUCACUGUGAACUGGAUGCCAGUCUUCAAAGAGAAGAUCCUUCAGCUUGCAAGCAGAGAGAAGCGAGCUCUACAUCUGAUUUCAAACUUUGAUUCUCUGUCAGCAGGCAUACAAGGCGACAUUGCUCUACAAGUGCUCCCAGUGAUACUUCCAACAUCAGCAUACAAGUUCAGGAGAAAAAUGUUCUAAACAAGCUUCGCAGAAACCAGAAAGGCUUUCAUUCAUCUACGGCCUGUCAAGAUGAGUUUGUGUGUGUGUGUGUGUGUGUGUAUUUGCAUAGAUCACAUUUGAGGACGAAAUUGUCCCCAAAGUGUAGUAAAACCUGAAAUUUCCCUACUUUUGGGGACAUCUUUUGAGGUCAUUCAUUCUGCUGUGAACUGCACAUGUUACUGUCAAAUUCCUUGUGUAGCCUGAUAUAAUUUCUAAUAAACAGGUUGGAACCAAUAUGGCUGAAUACUUGUGCAAAGCCGAGGAGAGCCAACCAUGCCCCUUUGUUCUGGUGCUCAGUGAAAAUGCCAUGUGCUCGCAAGCCUUUGUGAUAAUCAAUGGACAGGCACUGGAGCAGAGUACGCUGCUGGGGGCUGUGGGCAUUUGUUUAAAAGCAUUCUAUGUCUUUGAUAUUAAAUAUCUCAAGCAGUGUGCACAAGUAUGGGAAUUCCUGCAAACUGUUGUGUAUGAGCUACCUGGAGAUGAGUCCCCUGCAAUACGAAUGGUGAGAGCACACGUUUUUGCAUAGCUCACACCAAAUGCUAUUUUAAUGUUAUUUCAAAAUGUUAUUUUUUGGUUUUUCAAUCACACAUUCAGUUCUACAGAAGCCUAAAAUUGGAUGCUAUUUAGCGUCAUCUACAAAUAUUUAGAUUUUUCUAUAUAUUUUUAACUUCCAUGGAAAGCUGUAAUUGGAAGUUCAGCAUAUUUUAAUGUGAUUUAAUGUGAAUGUGAUUUUUUUUUUCUGAACUUUUUUGUACUGUACUAGUUUAAUCGCAUACAUGGAUGUUAAUCUUUCAAUUAAUGCUCUAUGUCAAUAUUUCAUGAGACUAAUUGGAAGUUAUCCCGUUUUACUUUUUGAU